rnacentral:lncRNA from 1 species
CUGCCUCAGACCGUAUCACCCCCAGCUGCUUAUCCCAACCCUGCCUCAGACCGUAUCACCCCCAGCUGCUUAUCCCAACCCUGCCCAUCACUGUUUCAGUUACCAUGGUUACAGCUAAGUCUCCUGAUGUUUGGGGUCAGAAGGGCUAUCCCUCAUGACUGGUCAAGUUCCAGGUUACAUGGUUAGUCAAUGAUGCGCUCCCAUUGCACAGCUUGUCAACUAGUUAGUCCUACAGCAUCAAAGCAGAUUGCCAUCAACAAUGUAUACAGUCGCUUGAUUUAAUAUCUCUAUAGCAUCCAUAGUCUUUUUCAUAUUUUCUUUUUUUGUGUCCAUAUUUGGACAUCCUCAGUCACAGCACAACUUGUUCAUUAUCUAUUGGUACCAAAGCUUUAUGACACAGUCAGGACGGGGUCACUGUGGCUCCCUGCAUGGCCAUAGUUAACCAGGCCUUAUUGCCCUGGGCGUAGCCUGGAGAGGUGCUUCCCUUCCCACCGUCCAGCCAACCCACCAUCCCAGCCAGUGUGGCCAGUUGGGGCCCCCUGCCUGGUAAGCCUGGUAAAGACAUUAAGCAUUAAACAGACACUUCUGCUCACCGUCUGGUGACAUAGGGUAAAUGGGAGGACAUGGGGCUGAAGAGAGGAACCAUCGGGUCCCCAGGCCUUGAAAUGAUCAUCGGGUUAAUCUCUGCCCAGCUUGACUUUAAUAGGAUUUGGGGGGGAGUGAAACCCCUUCAGCAGGAUUUACAGGGAUGAGAGUGUACCUGCUUAACUAGAGAAGAGGAGCCUGUCCUGAGCCAUUGAUCCUGCUGAGAACGGUUCCCAGUAAAAAGGACUGGAGGACAUCAUUAUGAAAUCAAUAUCAUAAAGCUGUUGUAUACUAGCAAUAUUUCAUUGGUUAGACAUACAGUAUUCUAUAUAGAGAUAACAUUUAUACAAUCAUAUGGAAUAAAUGAUUUGCAUGAUCAUUUGGACUGGAUGUCUCUCAUAUCCUAUAACCCAUGUCCCAAAAAAAGCCCCCAAAAUUGUCAAAGACUCCAGUCACCAAAGUCAUAAACUGUUCUCUCUGCUACCACAUGGCAAGCGGUACAAGAGCUCCAAGUCUAGGACGCAUGUCACAUAUCCUAUGUUACCUUGUCCCAUAUCCCAUGUUACCAUGUCCCAUAUCCCAUAUCCCAUGUUCCCUAUAACUUGUCCCAUAUCCCAUGUCCCAUGUCCCGUGUCCCAUAUCCCAUUUCCCAUAUCCCAUGUCCCCUAUUAACUGUCCCAUGUCACAUAUCCCAUAUCCCAUGUUACCAUGUCCCAUAUCCCAUAUCCCAUGUUCCCUAUACCUUGUCCCAUAUCCCAUGUCCCAUGUCCCGUGUCCCAUAUCCCAUUUCCCAUAUCCCAUGUCCCCUAUUCACUGUCCCAUGUCACAUGUCCCAUUUCCCAUGUUACCAUGUCCCAUAUCCCAUAUCCCAUGUUACCAUGUCCCAUAUCUUAUGUCCCAUAUCCCAUGUUACCAUGUCCCAUGUCCCAUAUCCCAUGUCGUCACAAUUAAAGGAUAAAGGUUCAUAAGUAGUUUAGAAACAGUUACUGUAAUCAUUCAUGUAUUUAUAGUUUGUAAAUCUAGCUAUAGCACACACACACAUACACACACAAACAAACACACACACACACACACACACGCACACACACACACACACACACACACACACACACACACACACACACACACACACACACACACACACACACACACACACACACACACACACACACACACACACACACACACACACACACACACAAAAACAACCCCCCAUAACCCACCACACCAACCCCACUCCCCCAGACGUACCCAUUUGGCAUGUUGAACCACUCACCUACAGUACGGUAUGUCAUGGCAGCUCUCAUGUAUUAGAGGCAUCAGUCAAAGCUGAUGGGUCCAUGGAGCAGGACUCUCUCUGUGUGGUCUGAAAUCCUGGCAGCUGACAGCAAGUUGGUGCCAUGGCCGAGUGGAGGGACUAUUUUCAGUCUUCUGACCUCAUUUGGUCCUUGUUCUACCAAACGCAUAAUCUCCAGUGUAACAUGCAGUAUAUGAGACAUGCAGUAUAUGAGACAUGCAGUAUAUGAGACAUGCAGUAUAUGAGACAUGCAGUAUACGAGACAUGUAGUAUAUGAGACAUGUAGUAUAUGAAACAUGCAGUAUGAGACAUGCAGAUUGAGUAGUCGAGUCAAAUGCAGAGACGUUCAGGUGAAUGUGUGUGCAUGCACUCACACACACGCACAGACACGUCAUGUCCGAUUACCAGUUCAUGCAUUCUAAAUAGUAGCCAUUUUCUAAGUGAAAUUUUGAAAAAUAAGUAUGCUUUAAAUGCCAGGAUGUUACUCAUUUUCAGAGGUACUCACUCGCGCAUGCACACACAUAAACACACACACAGACCCACACACACACUGUACAGCCUAACAAGCCGACCAUGCGUUUACAUUUUACAUUUUUGUCAUUUAGCAGAUGCUUUUAU